rnacentral:rRNA from 1 species
CUUCAGGAUUCCCCUAGUAACUGCGAGUGAAGCGGGAAAAGCUCAAAUUUAAAAUCUGGUGGCCUCUGGUCGCCCGAGUUGUAAUUUAGAGAAGCGUCUUCCGCGCUGGACCGUGCACAAGUCUCCUGGAAUGGAGCGUCAUAGAGGGUGAGAAUCCCGUCUUUGGCACGGACGCACCAGGGCUUUCGUGAUGCGCUCUCGAAGAGUCGAGUUGUUUGGGAAUGCAGCUCAAAAUGGGUGGUGAACUCCAUCUAAAGCUAAAUAUUGGCGAGAGACCGAUAGCGAACAAGUACCGUGAGGGAAAGAUGAAAAGCACUUUGGAAAGAGAGUGAAACAGUACGUGAAAUUGUUGAAAGGGAAACGCUUGAAGUCAGUCGCGUCGACCGAGACUCAGCCUCGCCUUGGCUUGGCGCGCUUCUCGGCUGACGGGUCAGCGUCGAUUUUGCCCCUCGGAUAAUGGCAAGGGAAAGGUGGCACCUUUACGGGUGUGUUAUAGUCUCCUGUCGCAUGCGAGGGUCGGGAUCGAGGAACUCAGCACGCGCCUCUCGGCGGUCGGGGCUUCGGCCCACGCUACGUGCUUAGGAUGCUGGCGUAAUGGCUUUAAACGACCCGUCUUGAAACACGGACCAAGGAGUCUAACAUGCCCGCGAGUGUUCGGGUGGAAAACCCGUGCGCGUAAUGAAAGUGAAAGUUGGGACCUCUGUCGUGGGGGGCACCGACGCCCGGACCAGACCUUCUGUGACGGAUCUGCGGUAGAGCGUGCAUGUUGGGACCCGAAAGAUGGUGAACUAUGCCUGAAUAGGGUGAAGCCAGAGGAAACUCUGGUGGAGGCUCGUAGCGAUUCUGACGUGCAAAUCGAUCGUCAAAUUUGGGUAUAGGGGCGAAAGACUAAUCGAACCAUCUAGAGCUGGUUCCUCC